rnacentral:rRNA from 1 species
UACGUAGGGGGCAAGCGUUGUCCGGAAUCAUUGGGCGUAAAGCGCGUGUAGGCGGUUCGGUAAGUCCGCUGUGAAAGUCGGGGGCUCAACCCUCGGAUGCCGGUGGAUACUGUCGGACUAGAGUACGGAAGAGGCGAGUGGAAUUCCUGGUGUAGCGGUGAAAUGCGCAGAUAUCAGGAGGAACACCGAUUGCGAAGGCAGCUCGCUGGGACGUUACUGACGCUGAGGUGCGAAAGCGUGGGGAGCAAACAGG